AAUAAUUCCUACCUCCGUCUCCAAUCCCUAUAUGAUCUGUAGGCUUUCCUUGCACAAUUAUUUUGUAUAUCUCUAGUGUCUUCCCAACGAAACUAUACUGUGAUGGCCAUUACCAAGUAGCUAUUACUAUUUUUGAAUUAUUUUACUAGUAUUGUUCCCUACCACAAAACCUUACCUCUUAGCUUUUUCAGAGGUGGCCUCAGAUCUCCCUCAAUUUUACAAUUAGCUUGAUAUGUCAAAUCAUCUUUUUCUUUUUUUCCAAAUUUAUCCCUCCUUCUGUACUCUACUUUCUGGUUUUA
rnacentral:misc_RNA from 1 species